rnacentral:miRNA from 1 species
UUUGAGGUAGAACUGGAGGA